GACGAACGCUGGCGGCGUGCUUAACACAUGCAAGUCGAACGGGCCUUGUCCCCUUUUUUUUGGGGGUGGGGUUAGUGGCGAACGGGUGAGUAACACGUGAGUAACCUGCCCCUCACUUCUGGAUAACCGCUUGACAGGGUGGCUAAUACGGGGUGUUCUGGCCUGCUCGGAUGGGUGGGUUUGGAAAGAUUCGGCCGGUUUGGUUGGAUGGGUGGGGGAUGGGCUCGCGGCCUAUCAGCGUGUUGGUGGGGUGAGGGCAUGCAAAGGCUUUGACGGGUAGCCGGCCUGAGAGGGUGGGCGGUCACACUGGGACUGAGACACGGCCCAGACUCCUACGGGAGGCAGCAGUGGGGAAUACUGCACAAUGGGCGCAAGCCUGAUGCAGCGACGCCGCGUGAGGGAUGGAGGCCUUCGGGUUGUGAACCUCUUUCGCCAGUGAAGAAGGUCCUGCUCUUUGUGGUGGGGUUGACGGUAGCUGGGUUAAUGAAGCGCCGGCUAACUACGUG
rnacentral:rRNA from 1 species